AAAAAAAUUGGGUUAAAAGCUUAGCAUGAAGGCUUAGGUUUUGAACAAGUGUCGUGCUCCAUGGCCUUCAUUCGGGCAGUUGCAGAUGCGGUGGUCACAAAGAGGGCCACCACCAAGGCUAUAAGAGCAAGAAGAGUGUUCUUCCUCAUCCUCACCUCCUUCUCAAACCAGAAGAUAAAGAGUAAUAGAACCUUCUACUAGGUAAACUUCGACGUUAGCGUCGGUGAGGAAGGGAGUAGCGGCAGUGCGAGAUUUGUUAUCAGAGAUCAGGAGGCCAGAUUAGUAGCUGCCGAGGGUCAGCGGAUCUUCGAUCAGUUCAUUGUCGAUGCUGAGCUUAGAGUCGUAUGGAAGGGCAUCACCUAUGCGAGGCGUAUUCUGGGUGCGAACCGUAUUCUCCUUGAGGGGGAAUCAGCCACAGAGACCGAGUGGAUUCAAAGUUGAGGCCACGUUGCCGGUGGGAUGCGGCUGCUCCACAACAUUUGUAGUCUUUUGGGUGCGUGCGCUUUUUAUCGAGCUACAUAUAUGUACAGAGAGGCAAAUAGUGCUGCAGAUUGGGUGGCAUCCUAUACAGCUCAUCACCCCAGAUUUUUUAUUUGGGAGAGCCACGCAUCUGUCCCGUCUCCCUUGCACUAUUUUUUUUUUAAUUUUAUUUUAUGGGCUGCACCCAUAUUCGUUA